UAUUCUCGUUGCCCUCGUUUUCUUCUCCGGUAAAAUUUCUUUAACCCUCGUGUAACUUUUCGAUAUUAUUUUAAUAAAAAUAUUAUAAACAUGUAAGUAAAUAAUAAAGAUUUUAUAUAUUCAUUUAUUAUACAUAUUACAUUUUAUAGUUUUUUUAAUGAAUGACGUGCAUAUAUGUAUAUGCAGUUAAAAUGGUUGAAGCUAGGCAAGUUGUUUUCCCAACUCUCGACCACGAAUCUAUAAAGGAAUCGGUUUCCGGAAACUGCACUACUUUUUCCGACGAGAUAAAAAAUUGCGUCACGAAAGAAGGAAAGGCAAAGUGCGACGCUGAUUGUUACUUUUAUUAUAAGAAUAACGAUCCGAAGCCGAGUUGUCAAGUCUCGAGUAAAUAUCCAACCGGAAGAUGCGCGUGCAAUCGACAAUAUUUGUUGAGAUAUACAUAAGAAAUUAUAUUGCAUGUACGCGUUCCGAAAU
rnacentral:lncRNA from 1 species